rnacentral:lncRNA from 1 species
AGCUCGCCCCGUCCUCCCUCUCGUGCGCGCUCGCCCACACGUGCGAGCGAGCUCACGAUGGUUUCCCAACGAGUCGCCAUGGAUAGGGGUGUUAAGAUCCAGCAUCAACGGAGGAAGACGAUGUUAAGAUCCUACCCGACCUUCCCUCUCCUCGAGGAGAAGAGGCGAUCCUGCGCACACAUCAAACAAGGUUCUCCCUUCGAUUCGGUUUUGACGCUUCAGUUUUUCCUAAUGCUUCAGGGAUUUGGGCUUUUGAUUAUCCGUUUUAGGGCUUUAGAGUUUUGAUGGUUUAGGGUUUUAGGGUUUUAGGUUUCGAUUACCUGCGGGUAUCCUUCAGGCGAGGUUUCCCUGCAAUCCGGUGUGAGUUUUAGGGUUUGAGUCAUCGGUUACAGGGUUUUAGGAUUCUAGGGUUUGACCGCAAAUUUCCAGUUUUAGGAUUUUAGGUAUUCGGCGUUUAUUAUCUCAACCUUCUCGAUUGCGGAAGAUGGAUUUCAGGGUUAGGGGAUAAGAUCCUUUUUGGUCUAUUAGGUUUCAAUUGCCAACUCUAGAGUUAAGCCUUGCUUGGGAAGCUUUUAAAUAUUCUUUGCUGUUUGGUCCCUGUAAUCGAGUCUAUGAUGUGUUAGUUAAUCUACCGCUUAAACACUGCAAUUUGGAAAUGAGAUUGGAGAUAUGUUAUGUUUAUUAUAGAAAAAUUAUCUGCUGAAUCAGGUGUAAGUUCAUGUUGAUGUAGAUAUAAUGAUGUCAGGUUCAUGCAGAAUAGAAAAUACACUUUCAACCUUUUCUCUUGUGAUAUUACGAGGUUAAGUUUUAGUUACACCUUUAUGAAGUAAGUUGUUCAUUGCAACCUGUAGACUGAGAGGUAAAGCUUAUAACUGAUGGAAAUUUUUUCCGAAAUGAGGCCUCUCUGGCAUCAGACUGCUAAUUCCAAAUGCUAAUGUGGCCAGUUUUCUCUUCUUUCCAUUCCCAUAGAUGGUUUGGUUGAGCUGAGUUAUAUUUAUGGAUGAGUAGCAUGUGCUAAAUUAUGUCUUGGAAAACAAGGCAUUAGGAGCUCUCUGUAGCUCAUCCUUGAUGUCCUAAUUUUUUCCUUGUGUGAGGUUAGCGGGGCAAAUCCUUUUGUUUUUUGGUUGGGGUAGCCUUUUCAAUGAUGUAAGUCCUUAAUGUCCCCCCAUCAAAGAGUUUAAAAAAGGGAUCAGAAUUCUUGCUGGUCGAAGCUUUUUAGCGAAUUUAGCUCUCCAUGAUAUAAUAAUUGAUGUCUCAACCGGUAGUAUUAGUAAGCUACUAACCAAAAUGCAAGAUUGGUACUUCAUGUAUGUGGCCAUUUUUUCAGACCAACACAUGAUGUAUGCCUCACUCUGAAUUAUCGUAUGGCAAAACUACAAUAUUGUUGUUCAAUUGUCGACAGUCAUGAUCACUUGAGCAGGCAUCUGGUCAUCGACGAGGCAUGUUUCUUUCUAGAUUCUUUUACUUUGUUGGUAAAUUUUUAUGAGUCGAAAUACGUGAGUUAUCUGUGAUCUAUAUUUCUUCACAAUAGCAACAGCAGGAUUUUAGAAACAACUCUGCUGAACAUGUAAUAUGAGUUUAAUCACCUUCUGGAGGAGAGAGUCAGAUAUUUCCAGAACUAGUUAUUCAUUCUAUUAUGUGAACAUGGGCAUGCAAGAAUUGCAAUCUAAUCCCUACUAAUUGCAACAAAUGCUAAGGUCGAUAUUCUACAGGAGUUGUUUUUGGAAUCCUAUCACACCUUUUGAUAUCUUGAUUGUUAAUAUUUGGUUUAUGAAUUCCCAUUAGGUGAUGUUUCAUCAACAGCAUAGAAGCCUUUAAGUGUGAUAUCCUUCUUUCAGCGAUCAGAUGUUUGUUCAAGUGGUUGUGAUUGUCUAUAAUUGGAUAAAUUCAGCCGCAAACUUGUCAUGUGCAAGUCCAGACUAACACAGCUCAUUUGUAUGGAAGGUAGCCCUAUAUAGAAAAUACCAAUAGGUUUUGCACUUCCAGGUAGCCACACAUUGACAUUAGAUGAUAGUUAAUGUAGCUCUAGGUUGCUGUCAAGAUCUUUAAUGUUGGACAUUCGAUAGCUGCAUAAUCACCUAAAUGAAUUGCAAGAUAUUUUUCUGAAGGCAUGAGUGCCUAACCACAUUGUCACCAAAUAAAAAUUAGUUAAUCAAGUAUCAUGAAUAGAAAAAUAUUUUUGGGUUUUGUGAAUUUUUAAGUUGACAAAAGAAAAGGAGCAAAAUUGAAUUCAAUUCUUGAUGGGUAGCAAACUGCUGCAGAACAACUUCAGUGUUCUAUAUUUUAUUCUCAGACCAGGAAUAUGAAGAUUAUUUUUUAUUUUCCAACAAGGAGGUUAUCGAAUAAGCGAGUUCCGCAAGAGCUUUCGCGUUGAGAUUCUCAUCUCUCAGUGGGUUCUUCAUGGCUCUUCCUUCAAAGAGUAGGAUAUCACAGUCGUCAGGUGUGUCCUCGGCAUGCUGCAAUUUGUCAAUGGCAUUCUCUAUAUUCCUGGCCUUGAUGUCUCCUAUGGAACCUGUCACUGAUUGCUUCAUCUCCCUGUAGUAGCGAAUGCAUGCGAUGAGAUUGUUGACGAGAUCUUCGGUAAUGUCUAUGAUUGAGGUGAUGUUGAUUUUUGUGAGGUUGGCAGCAAGGAGGGCGAGCUCGCGAGUGUCGGCGGAUGUGCUUUUAGGCACGGCAUAGAGAGUUUCCAUGCAGAAUCGGUAGUCUACUGAGCGCACCCUCUCUACAGCC